AACGAACGCUGGCGGCAUGCCUAACACAUGCCAGUCGAACGAGACCUUCGGGUCUAGUGGCGCACGGGUGCGUAACGCGUGGGAACCUGCCCUUAGGUUCGGAAUAACUCCUCGAAAGGGGUGCUAAUACCGGAUAAUGUCUUCGGACCAAAGAUUUAUCGCCUUUGGAUGGGCCCGCGUUGGAUUAGCUAGUUGGUAGGGUAAAAGCCUACCAAGGCGACGAUCCAUAGCUGGUCUGAGAGGAUGAUCAGCCACACUGGGACUGAGACACGGUCCAGACUCCUACGGGAGGCAGCAGUGGGGAAUAUUGGACAAUGGGCGAAAGCCUGAUCCAGCAAUGCCGCGUGAGUGAUGAAGGCCUUAGGGUUGUAAAGCUCUUUUACCCGGGAUGAUAAUGACAGUACCGGGAGAAUAAGCGCCGGCUAACUCCGUG
rnacentral:rRNA from 1 species